AUUGAACGCUGGCGGCAUGCCUUACACAUGCAAGUCGAACGGCAGCACGGGAGCAAUCCUGGUGGCGAGUGGCGAACGGGUGAGUAAUAUAUCGGAACGUGCCCAGUCGUGGGGGAUAACGCAGCGAAAGCUGUGCUAAUACCGCAUACGAUCUACGAAUGAAAGCGGGGGAUCGCAAGACCUCGCCCGACUGGAGCGGCCGAUAUCAGAUUAGCUAGUUGGUGGGGUAAAGGCCCACCAAGGCGACGAUCUGUAGCUGGUCUGAGAGGACGACCAGCCACACUGGAACUGAGACACGGUCCAGACUCCUACGGGAGGCAGCAGUGGGGAAUUUUGGACAAUGGGCGCAAGCCUGAUCCAGCAAUGCCGCGUGCAGGAUGAAGGCCUUCGGGUUGUAAACUGCUUUUGUACGGAACGAAACGGCCCUUUCUAAUACAGGGGGCUAAUGACGGUACCGUAAGAAUAAGCACCGGCUAACUACGUGCCAGCCGCCGCUGUAA
rnacentral:rRNA from 1 species